CCUACGAGGGGCAGCAGUGGGGAAUAUUGGACAAUGGGGGAAACCCUGAUCCAGCGACGCCGCGUGAGUGAAGAAGUAUUUCGGUACGUAAAGCUCUAUCAGCAGGAAAGAAAAUGACGGUACCUGACUAAGAAGCCCCGGCUAACUACGUGCCAGCAGCCGCGGUAAUACGUAGGGGGCAAGCGUUAUCCGGAUUUACUGGGUGUAAAGGGAGCGUAGACGGCAGCGCAAGUCUGGAGUGAAAUGCCGGGGCCCAACCCCGGAACUGCUCUGGAAACUGGGAAGCUGGAGUGCAGGAGAGGUAAGCGGAAUGCCUGGUGUAGCGGUGAAAGGCGUAGAUAGCAGGAGGAACACCGGCGGCGAAGGCGGCUUACUGGACUGUAACUGACGUUGAGGCUCGAAGGCGUGGGGAGCGAACAGGAUUAGAUACCCUAGUAGUC
rnacentral:rRNA from 1 species